GACGAACGCUGGCGGCGUGCCUAAUACAUGCAAGUCGAACGCUGAAGAGAGGCUCUUGCUCUUCUUGGAUGAGUUGCGAACGGGUGAGUCACGCGUAGGUAACCUGCCUUGUAGCGGGGGAUAACUAUUGGAAACGAUAGCUAAUACCCCAUAACAAUGGGUGACACAUGUCUUUUCUUUGAAAGCGGCAAUUGCUGCACUACAAGAUGGACCUUCGUUGUAUUAGCUAGUAGGUGAGGUAAUCGCCCAUCUAUGCGACGAUACAUAGCCGACCUGAGCGGGAGGUUGGCCAACACGGGAAGGGGGAACGGCCCAAAAUUCCUCGGGGGGGAGGAGGAGGGGAAUAUCGGAAAUGGGGGCAACGCUGACCGAGCAAAGGCGGGUGGGUGAAGGAGGGUCUCGGAUCGGAAAGCUCUGUUGUGAGGGGAGAACGGGUGUGAAGUUAGAAAGUUCACACUGUGACGGUAGCAUACGAGAAAGGGACGGCUAACUACGUG
rnacentral:rRNA from 1 species